GACGUAGGAGGCGAGCGUUGUCCGGAUUCAUUGGGCGUAAAGAGCACGCUGGCGGUUUGGCAAGUCGGAUGUGAAAGCCCGGAGCUCAACUCCGGACCUGCAUCCGAAACUGCCCGACUAGAGGUAGGUAGGGGAGAUCGGAAUUCCUGGUGUAGCGGUGAAAUGCGCAGAUAUCAGGAGGAACACCGGUGGCGAAGGCGGAUCUCUGGGCCUUACCUGACGCUCAGGUGCGAAAGCUAGGGGAGCGAACAGG
rnacentral:rRNA from 1 species